AACGAACGCUGGCGGCGUGCCUCAGACAUGCAAGUCGAACGAUUAAACUUUCCUUCGGGAAAGAUAUAGAGUGGCGCACGGGUGAGUAACACGUAAGUAAUCUACCCUCGAGUGGGGAAUAACGUUCGGAAACGGACGCUAAUACCGCAUAAUGCAGCGGCACCGCAAGGUGACAGUUGUUAAAGAUUUAUCGCUUGAGGAGGAGCUUGCGGCAGAUUAGCUAGUUGGUAAGGAACGGCUUACCAAGGCUACGAUCUGUAACCGGUCUAAGAGGACGGUCGGUCACACUGACACUGAAUAACGGGUCAGACUCCUACGGGAGGCAGCAGUCGGGAAUUUGGCAAUGGGCGAAAGCCUGACCCAGCAACGCCGCGUGAAGGAUGAAGUAUUUCGGUAUGUAAACUUCGAAAGAAUGGGAAGAAUUAAUGACGGUACCAUUUAUAAGGUCCGGCUAACUACGUGCCAGC
rnacentral:rRNA from 1 species